rnacentral:rRNA from 1 species
GUAUAGGGUGUGACGCCUGCCCGGUGCCGGAAGGUUAAUUGAUGGGGUUAGCUGCUUGCAGCGAAGCUCUUGAUCGAAGCCCCGGUGAACGGCGGCCGUAACUAUAACGGUCCUAAGGUAGCGAAAUUCCUUGUCGGGUAAGUUCCGACCUGCACGAAUGGCGUAACGAUGGCCACACUGUCUCCACCCGGGACUCAGCGAAAUUGAACUCGCUGUGAAGAUGCAGCGUACCCACGGCUAGACGGAAAGACCCCGUGCACCUUUACUACAGCUUCACACUGGACUUUGAAUAUGUUUGUGUAGGAUAGGUGGGAGGCUUUGAAGCCAGAACGCUAGUUUUGGUGGAGCCAAUCUUGAAAUACCACCCUAAUAUGUUUGAGGCCCUAACCGAGGUCCGUUAUCCGGAUCCGGAACCGUGUGUGGUGGGUAGUUUGACUGGGGCGGUCUCCUCCCAAAGAGUAACGGAGGAGCGCGAAGGUGUUCUAAGCGCGGUCGGAAAUCGCGCGGUUAGUGCAAAGGCAUAAGAACGCUUGACUGCGAGACAGACACGUCGAGCAGGAACGAAAGUUGGUCUUAGUGAUCCGGUGGUUCUGUAUGGAAGGGCCAUCGCUCAACGGAUAAAAGGUACGCCGGGGAUAACAGGCUGAUACCCCCCAAGAGUUCACAUCGACGGGGGUGUUUGGCACCUCGAUGUCGGCUCAUCUCAUCCUGGGGCUGUAGCCGGUCCCAAGGGUAUGGCUGUUCGCCAUUUAAAGAGGUACGCGAGCUGGGUUUAGAACGUCGUGAGACAGUUUGGUCCCUAUCUGCCGUGGGCGCCGGAGACUUGAGAGGAGCUGCUCCUAGUACGAGAGGACCGGAGUGGACGUACCUCUGGUGUUCCAGUUGUCACGCCAGUGGCAUUGCUGGGUAGCUAUGUACGGAAGGGAUAACCGCUGAAAGCAUCUAAGCGGGAAGCCCCCCUCAAGAUUAGGUCUCCCUGGACCCUCGUGGUCCCUGAAGGUUCGUUGUAGAGUACAACGUUGAUAGGCGGGGUGUGGAAGCACAGCAAUGUGUGAAGCUAACCCGUACUAAUAAACCGUGAGGCUUGACUAU